CGGGAAAAUAAAGGGUUUUCGGGGACGCUGCCAGGGCCCAGGCUGCUGCCUCCCCGCCCUGUGCGUCACACAUGCCAGGCAGAGCCGCCCCUUAUCGGCCACUUGCCCCAGCCGGCAAUGCCACCCGGACUGGGCAGACGGCACAGCAAGAACGUCAAGAUGGUGCAACCUUGAAGAUGCUUACAGGAUGGGCUGGCCUGGAAAGGCCUCUGCAGUUGGCAUAGCUACAGUCUGGAACAUCAGUGACAUUCAGGCAGACUUCCUGGAGGAGGCUAGGAUGGAGAAGGUUCUAGGAAUGCGGGCUCUGGACCUUCCGAGACGUUUGUUUGCUCCAGGUCCUUACAGGUGUGUGAUGUAGCCUCCUCCAGGCUGCCCGGCAGGAUCCCUCAGAGCUGCCCUCUGCAGAGCCAGCGCCCCUCCCCCUCCCCCACCCACCCCACCUCCACCCCACCUCUCUUCCAUCCCCCCCAAGUCACCACUUCCCCAUCCCAUUGCCCCCACCACCUCCCACUUGUUUCUCCUGGGAGCACUUUCUUAAGAGUCAUCAGCGUCUGCUUCUGGGGGUAACCCAAUACUUCUGGGCAACC
rnacentral:lncRNA from 1 species